GAGUUUGAUCAUGGCUCAGGAUAAACGCUGGCGGCGUGCAUGAGACAUGUAAGUCGAACGGAUGACUCGGGCUUGCUCGAGUCGUUAGUGGCGGACGGCUGAGUAACGCGUAGGUGACCUGCCCGGAAGUGGGGAAUAACUGCCCGAAAGGGUGGCUAAUACCGCAUGUGUUCACAGGUUCGAUCAUGUGAGCAAAGCCGUAAGGCGCUUCCGGAGGGGCCUGCGUACGAUUAGCUCGUUGGUGGGGUAACGGCUCACCAAGGCGACGAUCGUUAGGUGGUCUGAGAGGACGAUCACCCAGACUGGGACUGAGACACGGCCCAGACUCCUACGGGAGGCAGCAGUCGGGAAUUUUGCACAAUGGGCGAAAGCCUGAUGCAGCAACGCCGCGUGAGGGAUGAAGGCCUUCGGGUUGUAACCUCUUUAUCUAGGACGAUGAUGACGGUACCUGAUGAAUAAGCCACGGCUAACUACGUAGCCAGCAGCCGCA
rnacentral:rRNA from 1 species